UACGUAGGGUGCGAGCGUUUAAUCGGAAUUACUGGGCGUAAAGCGUGCGCAGGCGGUUGUGCAAGACCGAUGUGAAAUCCCCGGGCUUAACCUGGGAAUGGCAUUGGUGACUGCACGGCUAGAGUGUGUCAGAGGGGGGUAGAAUUCCACGUGUAGCAGUGAAAUGCGUAGAGAUGUGGAGGAAUACCGAUGGCGAAGGCAGCCCCCUGGGAUAACACUGACGCUCAUGCACGAAAGCGUGGGGAGCAAACAGG
rnacentral:rRNA from 1 species